AUUGAACGCUGGCGGAAUGCUUUACACAUGCAAGUCGAACGAUGAAGUCUAGCUUGCUAGACGGAUUAGUGGCGAACGGGUGAGUAAUAUAUCGGAACGUAUCCAUUAAUGGGGGAUAACUAGUCGAAAGAUUGGCUAAUACCGCAUACGUCCUACGGGAGAAAGCUAGGGACCUUCGGGCCUGGCGUUAAUGGAGCGGCCGAUAUCUGAUUAGCUAGUUGGUGAGGUAAAGGCUCACCAAGGCGACGAUCAGUAGCUGGUCUGAGAGGACGACCAGCCACACUGGAACUGAGACACGGUCCAGACUCCUACGGGAGGCAGCAGUGGGGAAUUUUGGACAAUGGGCGCAAGCCUGAUCCAGCCAUUCCGCGUGAGUGAAGAAGGCCUUCGGGUUGUAAAGCUCUUUCGCAAGGGAAGAAAACUUACCCUCUAUCAUAGGGUGAGGAUGACGGUACCUUGAUAAGAAGCACCGGCUAACUACGUGCCAGCAGCCGGAGUAAAAC
rnacentral:rRNA from 1 species